rnacentral:tRNA from 1 species
CGGGGCGUAGCGCAGCUUGGAAGCGCGCUUGGUUCGGGACCAAGAGGUCGCUGGUUCAAAUCCAGUCGCCCCGA